ACUCCUACGGGAGGCAGCAGUGGGGAAUAUUGCACAAUGGGGGAAACCCUGAUGCAGCCAUGCCGCGUGUGUGAAGAAGGCCUUCGGGUUGUAAAGCACUUUCAGUAGGGAGGAAGGUAGUGUAGUUAACACCUGCAUUAUUUGACGUUACCUACAGAAGAAGCACCGGCUAACUCCGUGCCAGCAGCCGCGGUAAGUACGGAGGGUGCGAGCGUUAAUCGGAAUUACUGGGCGUAAAGCGCAUGCAGGCGGCCUGUUAAGUCAGAUGUGAAAGCCCGGGGCUUAACCUCGGAAUUGCAUUUGAAACUGGCAGGCUAGAGUCUUGUAGAGGGGUUAGAAUUUCAGGUGUAGCGGUGAAAUGCGUAGAGAUCUGAAGGAAUACCAGUGGCGAAGGCGGCCCCCUAGGACAAAGACUGACGCUCAGAUGCGAAAGCGUGGGAGCAAACAGGAUUAGAUACCCCUGGUAGACUGUCA
rnacentral:rRNA from 1 species